CUCUCAGUUCAGGCUGCCCAGUGGAGAGCAGGAAGGAGCCCAUGGAAAGGGAAGACGGACGGAAGGCCUUGCGACUGCUGGGUAGGACACACCUGCCGCUCUAAGCACCAUGGGAUUUGAUUGUCCUGUCGUCUGGACAAGACACCUGCUAUGCGAGCUGGUUUCCGAGGAACCCGGUUCAUUCUGGCUCUGUGAAGAUCAACUUCUCUGGGAAACGAUGACUAUCUACUGUGCCUGCUGCACUCUAAGUAGCUACUGGAGCAAGUGUACUAAGGACCAGAGGAUGGAGGGCAGUGGGACUCUCAUCUAAACCCUGUGAGGACAAGGAUGGAGCUGGUCUGCAGGAGUGACGCCCAGAGAGGGAGCGUCUGAGAGGGAUGGAAGAGGCUGCGCUGAGAAGAGCUGGGCUGAGAGGGGUCACCCAGGGAAAGGUGAGCAGUGGAGGACUGAACCAGUGUCUUCACCGAUAUGUAACAUGUUACGUUCCACAUUUAGUGUGGGGCCCUCCCCUCCCUAAGGCUCCUUUUGAGUUUUUCUAACAGAGGAUUUGACUCCAGGAAUACUGGUGCUUCAUGUCCUCUGCAGAGUGAUUUAAAACCAAUUCUAAACCCAUAUUCUUUUUAAAAUUUAUAUAAGCUUUAUUCUGUAAAAACGCUUAAAUAAACAAAGCAUCACACACCCAAA